CAACUCACUCAGCUGACAAGUAGUGAGAGGCUGUCUCUCUGCUGUCUUCACUGCUUUCUUCACUGCUUUCAGGAGUGGUUUAGUGUCUUCAAAAAGACCGUUAGCAUCAGAGGCUAACAAUUAGAGGAGUGUCAGAAAAAAAUACCUAAAACAGGGGAAGUUACAAGAAAAUUUGUAAUGAGAGCUGCUGACAGAGAUGCAGGAAACAGAGCUGGAGCGGAGCGGAUCUGAUCUCCUGUGGAAGAACAUCUCCAAAGUGCCAUGAACCAUCUGACUAUGAAUGAGCAUGCCAACAGAUAGCUGCCGCCAAAUGUUAAAUACACCUCUUUGCUUCACAAAGACGCUAUCUCAGAUACAACUGUUUUGCUAAGCAACAAGAAGACGUCAGACACCUGUGAUUCACAGACUGAUGCCCAAAGCCUGUAAAGCAACAGGGAGGAGAGAGAGAGAGAAAGACAAAGAAAAGAGAGGAAGAAACUCCUGCUGUGCCCCAAGUCUUUCUGCGCCGGGUCUCAGUUGUGAUUCAAUGCCUGUGUGAGGCUUGUGGGCGCCUGCUAAUGUGAUUUUGCGUACGUUUCUGCGUCACAACGCACAGCAUUGCCAUCAGAUGGACGACAAUGAGAAAACACAAACCCGGCUCUGUUUGUUUAUUCACAGAUUUAAUGACUGAGGAUCUGUUGUUUGAUCAUGUGAGUGUUUAGGGCUGAAGACAGCAUAGGCCGAUAAGCAACGUUUAUGCUCUGACUUCCUGCUACAGAUACGAGAGUAAAUGACCCAGAGAGCUCGAGACGAACAGAACAGCGCUCGUCCUUUUGUGCUCAUCUCGGUCCACAUCCAAGCCUUAAUCACCAGAGAAACCGACUUGGCGAGGCAGCAAAGGGCAGCUAACUUUCCCCAGGUGUGGAGCCAUUUGGAAGCAUCUAAGCAAUCAAAAUGUAGCACUGCCACCAUGUGGUCAGGUUGGGAAUUGCAUGCUCUUUGCAGCAGCUCCAUUCACAUGCAAUGAUGCCCAAGUGACAAACUCCGAUACCGCUGGGCAACAAGCGCAUACAGUAAUCCAAUACGUCCACAAACCACAUCCAUUAAAACAAGCCCCUCCGUGGCAUGAUAAAUAAAAGCUGAAUGCAUGCCCAGUCACAAGCGUUUUGCUUUCCCUUAAAUCAAACUCCACAUUUGUAGGCUCAACUCGCAGUGGAUCAGGUCCAACUGCAAUCACUCCCUAUAUAUCCAAGCCCUUCGGUCAAACAAGACACCAGCAUUGCAGUAUUAAUGCAGUGGAAAUAGAUGAACAACCUGUAGAUGCUAAAGCAGCUGCUUUUAAUGAAACUCAGAUCACACUGAGAGAAAUGAUCUGAACGACCUAAAAUGAAAACGUGAUAGACACAUCUCCGGCCUCAAAUCUGGGCAUAGUAAUAAAAAUGAUAAAUAAUUCAUGCACUGUCCCUGUCUUAUACACAAAUACAACUUAUGCCAAACUGUUUGCUAAACACUAAUGCUGAAAGGCAUGAAAAAUGUGCGCUUAAAUUAUUUUAAAAGCACAUCAGGAUCAAUAUUCACUGCGUGUUUUGCUAUAUUGCAGCCUACGGUUAUAUUUCAGCAUCUAACAGCAUGAUUCCAUGCUGCAAUAAAACACAAGCAUUAUAGCACAUCAUAAGACGCCAGUGUUUGGCUUCCACACUGUGACAGUGAUUAAUCCCUGUGUUUUUAUUAUUAUUCUUUUUUUUUUAUCACCGUGUCUCUCUUUAAGCGACAGUGCUGCAAUGAGAACCACGUUCCUCUGUCCUGCAGCCUCAGGCUAACACACAGUGUUUCUGUCAUUGCCCCAGGCCUCUGUUCAAAUAGCUCCCAGUGUUGCUCGACACGUGCCUAGUCUGAGAAUGAAGCG